GGCAGCGCCUGCUCGCUAUGUAGACGCCGAUUCGUGUAUGUUUGUGAUGAGCCCGCCAUACUGUAUUGUGGCGCUAAAAAAAAGUAUUUAUUUUUUAAACAACAGCAAUAAGCGCCUCAACUAUAGUAAUGACGUCACCACGUUUACAGGCCCGCCUCUUAGGACGCAUAGGGCGUAGACACCACCUUACGCAAAGGCUACGCACUGUCCCGCCCAUUCACGUGAUUUCUCCGAAGUUGUAGUUUCGUUUUGGUAGGUUUCUGGAAGAGAGUGUUCCCGCCUUAUGAGGAGAAGACCGGGCCGUUACAGGGGAUGCUGAAUGAUGACAUUAUACCAGGCAGAAUCCUACCUUCUGGUGAAUGAAGCCCCCAUUCAUUGAUGCAGAUUUCAACCACUGCCACCUAGACAUGUUGUACCCACAGUGAAGAAACAUUGUGAGGUUCUGUCUCCAAUAAAACAGAAGCUUGUGAGGGGGAUUAUCAUGCCAUCGCUGGACUUGGGAUUUAGUCGAUGAUGUUUAAAACUGCUGCUCCCACAGCUGUGUGCUGACUUUUUGUGCUGAAGAAUGACAAAAAUGCCAUCAGAAUACCACCACUCUAGAAACUGCAGGAAGAACACGCCCAGUGAAAGGCCCGAAGAUAACGUCACAGACACACCACCAAGAGCUUUCUUCAACACGCUGCCCAUGCUGGAGAGAAAAUAAAAACAAUAAAUGUUAUGUUACAAAAUCACACCUAUUUUAUUAAACUGCAAUGACUCAUUCCUAUCACUAAAAUCCUAUAACGUUCAUGCUGAGAUGUAGUAAAUAAAAUCCACAAUAUGGACAAAAGUAUUGGGCCUCACCUCUUCAUCACUGAAUGUUACAUGUAGUCCCAUCCCCACAAAUGUAUUAUAUGUGGCACCUUCCAAUCUGUCCUUUCCGGACUGCGUUUGCAAACAUUUGUGAAAGAGUGGAACAUUCUAAAGACCUCACUGAAUACCAGCAUGGUAUUGUAAUAGGAUCCACCACUGUAACAAAUUAUUUCCUGAAGUGUCUUCACUCCUCGAUCUUAUGUGAUCAUCUGUGAGUGAUAUUAUUGAAAAGUAGAAGCAUUCAAAUACCAGCUCAGCAAAGAACUAGAAACUAGGAAUCGACCGAUUAUCGGUUUGGCCUAUAUUAUCAGCCACUAAUGCGAUGCGAUGCGAUGGGGCAACUGUGGUGGUUAGACUAAGGUUCCCAGGACAGGCAGGGGAGAGAGGCG